CGGGCGCGGGCCGGCGCG
rnacentral:miRNA from 1 species